UUGCUACUGAUCUUAGCGGCGGACGGGUGAGUAAUACUUAGGAAUCUGGCUAUUAGUGGGGGACAACAUUUCGAAAGGGAUGCUAAUACCGCAUACGUCCUACGGGAGAAAGCAGGGGAUCAGUAAUGACCUUGCGCUAAUAGAUGAGCCUAAGUCGGAUUAGCUAGUUGGUGGGGUAAAGGCCUACCAAGGCGACGAUCUGUAGCGGGUCUGAGAGGAUGAUCCGCCACACUGGGACUGAGACACGGCCCAGACUCCUACGGGAGGCAGCAGUGGGGAAUAUUGGACAAUGGGGGGAACCCUGAUCCAGCCAUGCCGCGUGUGUGAAGAAGGCCUUAUGGUUGUAAAGCACUUUAAGCGAGGAGGAGGGUACUGGUAUUAAUACUACCAGCUACUGGACGUUACUCGCAGAAUAAGCACCGGCUAACUCUGUGCCAGCAGCCGCGGUAAUACAGAGGGUGCGAGCGUUAAUCGGAUUUACUGGGCGUAAAGCGUGCGUAGGCGGCUAAUUGAGUCGGAUGUGAAAUCCCCGAGCUUAACUUGGGAAUUGCAUUCGAUACUGGUUAGCUAGAGUGUGGGAGAGGAUGGUAGAAUUCCAGGUGUAGCGGUGAAAUGCGUAGAGAUCUGGAGGAAUACCGAUGGCGAAGGCAGCCAUCUGGCCUAACACUGACGCUGAGGUACGAAAGCAUGGGGAGCAAACAGGAUUAGAUACCCUGGUAGUCCAUGCCGUAAACGAUGUCUACUAGCCGUUGGU
rnacentral:rRNA from 1 species